AGAGUUUGAUCCUGGCUCAGGACGAACGCUGGCGGCGUGCCUAAUACAUGCAAGUCGAGCGGACUGAAUUGGAGCUUGCUCCAAUGAUGUUAGCGGCGGACGGGUGAGUAACACGUGGGUAACCUGCCCUACAGACUGGGAUAACUUCGGGAAACCGAGGCUAAUACCGGAUAAUACUUUUUAACACAUGUUAGAAAGUUGAAAGAUGGUUCUGCUAUCACUGUAGGAUGGACCCGCGGCGCAUUAGCUAGUUGGUGAGGUAACGGCUCACCAAGGCAACGAUGCGUAGCCGACCUGAGAGGGUGAUCAGCCACACUGGGACUGAGACACGGCCCAGACUCCUACGGGAGGCAGCAGUAGGGAAUCUUCCACAAUGGGCGAAAGCCUGAUGGAGCAACGCCGCGUGAGUGAAGAAGGAUUUCGGUUCGUAAAACUCUGUUGCAAGGGAAGAACAAGUAGCGUAGUAACUGGCGCUACCUUGACGGUACCUUGUUAGAAAGCCACGGCUAACUACGUGCCAGCAGCCGCGGUAAUACGUAGGUGGCAAGCGUUGUCCGGAAUUAUUGGGCGUAAAGCGCGCGCAGGUGGUUCCUUAAGUCUGAUGUGAAAGCCCACGGCUCAACCGUGGAGGGUCAUUGGAAACUGGGGAACUUGAGUGCAGAAGAGGAUAGUGGAAUUCCAAGUGUAGCGGAGAAAUGCGUAGAGAUUUGGAGGAACACCAGUGGCGAAGGCGACUAUCUGGUCUGUAACUGACACUGAGGCGCGAAAGCGUGGGGAGCAAACCAGGAUUAGAUACCCUGGUAGUCCACGCCGUAAACGAUGA
rnacentral:rRNA from 1 species